CCUACGGGAGGCAGCAGUAGGGAAUUUUCGUCAAUGGGCGCAAGCCUGAACGAGCGAUGCCGCGUGAGUGAAGAAGGCCUUCGGGUCGUAAAGCUCUGUUGCGGGGGAAAAAAGGCAGCAUCAGGAAAUGGGUGCUGACUGAUGGUGCCCCGCCAGAAAGUCACGGCUAACUACGUGCCAGCAGCCGCGGUAAUACGUAGGUGGCGAGCGUUAUCCGGAAGGAUUGGGCGUAACGGGUGUGCAGGCGGUCCGGCAAGUCUGGGGUGAAACGCAAGAGCUCAACUCAUGCAUGGCUUUGGAAACUGGAGGACUGGAGUGCAGGAGAGGGCGGUGGAACUCCAUGUGUAGCGGUAAAAUGCGUAGAUAUAUGGAAGAACACCAGUGGCGAAGGCGGCCGCCUGGCCUGUUGCUGACGCUGAGGCACGAAAGCGUGGGGAGCAAAUAGGAUUAGAUACCCGAGUAGUC
rnacentral:rRNA from 1 species